AGUAUGAACCUCAAAUGUCUUCAUUGAAAAAGCCAGAGCUAAAACAUGCAGACAUAUGGUUAGCGGUGACGUUACUCUGUAGCUAAUUAUUGGAUUUUUGCAGGUAGAAUCUUUACAGACACAAUUUUAAUAUGUUAACGAUAAUGAGACAGCAACUUAGCAACAGAGAUAACAACAUGAAAAUAUUAUUAUCGACAUGCACUUGGUUUGACGGUAAAAAAGACAUAUGGAAGUUUUCAUCGGCCA
rnacentral:lncRNA from 1 species